AGCGAACGCUGGCGGCAGGCCUAACACAUGCAAGUCGAACGGACCCUUCGGGGUUAGUGGCGGACGGGUGAGUAACACGUGGGAACGUGCCUUUAGGUUCGGAAUAGCUCCUGGAAACGGGUGGUAGUGCCGAAUGUGCCCUUCGGGGGAAAGAUUUAUCGCCUUUAGAGCGGCCCGCGUCUGAUUAGCUAGUUGGUGAGGUAACGGCUCACCAAGGCGACGAUCAGUAGCUGGUCUGAGAGGAUGACCAGCCACACUGGGACUGAGACACGGCCCAGACUCCUACGGGAGGCAGCAGUGGGGAAUCUUGCGCAAUGGGCGAAAGCCUGACGCAGCCAUGCCGCGUGAAUGAUGAAGGUUCUUAGGAUUGUAAAUUCUUUUCACCGGGGACGAUAAUGACGGUAACCCGGAGAAGAAGCCCGGCUAA
rnacentral:rRNA from 1 species